rnacentral:misc_RNA from 1 species
AUGUUUGAAUGCAAUGACUAUUCAUAAACUAUGCUUUGAUAGCUAUAUGUUCCAGAAAAUGUUAUUGAAGGUGGUGUUGAAAUAAAAUUAACAAGAGCACCCAUGUUGCCACGAUGCUAGAAGCAGACCAUAUAUUUUGGUAGUAAAUAUGUAAGUAGAUCGUAGAUCCAUUUAAAUUAUCUAAAUUGGUUCACGCAUCUAUAAUACUAGAAAGCACUACCGCACCAGGACAUAAAUUUUAUCUCAAGUAAAUCAAAAAGCAUUGAAAAGAAGUAAAUAAAAUAA